UCUUGUUGCCUUGCAUUUUGCCUUUUUGCGGCAGCUGCGGCCUUUCUUUCCUCUUCAGAGUUAUAUUUCUUAGGAGGCAUGUUUUUUUGCAUACAAUGAUUAUUUUAGUAAAUAGGUAAUAUUAAGUAAAAGCAGAAGAAUAUGGGUAAUUAGUAAUCAAAGUAAACAAUUAGUAAUCAAGUUAUCAAAAUUAUUUUUUUUUUGGAUGAAAUAUAUCUAUGAAAUUUAUUGAAAAUUAAAAUAUUCUGUUAUUUUAAAAUAUGUAUUUAUUUUUAAAAUAAAGUUUUUAAUUUUAAAAUGUUUUCUUUUUUUUUAAAUAUAAUUUUCAUUAUGAUAAUGAUCAGAAUGAUGAUGCGCGCGCAUCCGUGACAGAACCGGCCGGCCGGCCCAUGACGGUCGUGACUAUAUAUGUUGAUUUUACUAUUAUAGACGCGUAUGAUUCGAAUUUUGAUAACAGAUGGCGCGUUAAUGCAUCAUAAUAAAUUUUACUAUUAAAAUAUUGUAUAUGUGAAAAAAAUAGUACAAAUGUGAUAUUGUACUGGGAUAAGGUGCAUACAUUAUGGAGCAGCUUGCACCACGCUGACGAGAGCCAACAGCCCUAAACGCGUACGUUAUAGCUUUUCUUGAUUUACCAAGAAAGGGUAUUUGGCCAAUUCUUGAAUAAUUAAAAAUCAACGAGAAUAGUUGAUAUUUAUUCUGAUAGAUGGUGCAAGCCAUCAGCACUUUUCAGUUUCACGAUAAGGAAAGACCUUUUCCAUUAAAUAUGUGAUUAGUUUUUACUUUGUUUUUCCACUUUAAAUGUGUCUAUUGGGACUUAAUUUAAUAAUUUGGAAGGCUACUUUCCCAUCUAUGCCAUUGAAGAAAAAAUAUUAAAGUUCCUGUCCCAUUGAACGACAAUAUCCAGAAAAACGAUAUUCAUGAUGAGUAUAACUAUUCAGUUAUCCCGAAUCAGAAAAACCAGCAGAAAUAUAAGACCACGAGUUCCGCUAAUCUAGAAAGAAGUCGGUGGGCGAAUGGUUAAAACCCUCGAUUCCAGACAGCCAUGAACCAGGAUCGAAUCUUUUAUUGGAACACUUUGUUUCAAUAUGUGAAUAACCUUCAUAUAAUAUUCAAUGUCUUCUUAUUUCUUAUCUCCACUCAAUCAAAUUAGGGUAAUUUGGCAACCAUCAUGACUGGGUGAAGUAGAAUGCGUCUGCCUUUGUCAUUAAGACUGGGAGCACUACUCAGUGGCAGGCCGACUUAGCGCUCCAAAAGAAAUGGCCGCCUCUGACAUGAGGAACAGACGCCAUGUGCAGCCGAUCCUAAUAUGGAGUACAAACACUGCUCAUCCUGUGUCCCUGGAUUAGGAACCCUUACAGGGUACUAUCAGCCGGGCCAGCUGAACCCAGGUUUUUUAGUGAGCUUGUUACUGCUCCUCCUUUUUCAUCCGGGCUUGGGAACGGCAAAGGCGGAGUUAAUCAUUCAUUGUGAAUAUCAUAACCUGGUUGCGCUCCUUUUGAGCGUUACCUAUUAAAGUUUGUAACUGGAACCGUUUAACUAAGCUUUAGUGGUAGAAUCCACACAUAUAUCCCUUACUGACAAACAAACAUUCACUGCGUACAAGAAUGCGUAGCACAAGUACAAACUUAUAAUUUAAUAAAAUAAAUAAAGAUUCCAGAGCUAAGUUUCUUAUAACACAAUAUAAUGCGGCUUAUAAUUGUGGAACGACAUUUGAAAAUUAUCCCGCAUGUGUUUAUUUUGAACUGAAUUUCGAAAUUUAUUCCAAAGAGAAAUAACGAUUAUUUCUAACCUUAUGGAUGAAGUAUGAAAGGAUGAAUUGUGAAGAGUAAUGAUAAAUGGAAAAAUAAAAGUGUCCAGGGAUGGGAAUAGAACCCACAGUGUUCCGCUUACCGGGCAGAUGCCAUGUCCACUAGGCUACCCUGGACAUUUUUUUCCGUUCGUAAUUUACGAACACUGUGGGUUCGAUUCCCAUCCCUGGACACUUUUAUUUUUCCGUUUAUCAUUACACUUCACAAUUCACACACAUCCUUUCAUACUUCAUAAGGUUAGAAAUAAUCGUUAUUUCUCUUUGGAAUAAAUUUCGAUUUUUCGUUCAAAAGAAACACAUGCGGGAUAAUUUUCAAAUGUCGUUCUAAGUUUCUUGUUUAAUUCGAUUUCUCUAGCCUUCGGAUUAAAAUGUCCUUCAACAGGAGUAACUAAGAGUAAACUUCUAGCUACCUAGCUGGAUGUUAUACACACACACACAAAGCCUUUAUUAAGACAUUAGUCUUAUACAGAUUCUCCGUACAAGGUGCAAUAUCAGGAAAAGAGCAGCACAGGAAACCAGUAGUUCCGCAACUAUAUACAAUUAUUAGUAAUAAGGAAAAGUAAGAUUUAAUAUGAAAGGUCGACCCCUCGAUGUUUCGUCAUCAUUCUGAGGUGUAAGAACAAUAGCUUCCAAGUUUUCUUUUCUCCCUCUUUACACCUACUGCCUUGUAAAAAUUAUAUAGGGCCUGAGCAACUAGUCUGCUUGUUUGGGCACUGGUUAACAUCAUUUGGAUGGACCUAAGUUGGCUGAUGUCUACCAUUGAAAAGAAUGUCCUUCUCUCCUCACUAAUAUCUUGGCAUUCAUAGAUAUAAUGAGAUAGUUCAGUUUCCAUAUUUUCUUUGCAGAGAUCACAAAUCCAGCUGGAUGUUAUACUCCUAGUUACUCCUAUUGAAGAGGACAAGUUAACCCGAAAGUUAAGAGAUUGAACUGAAAGAUGACAUUUUCUCUCUUACAACAAACCGUGUUAAAAAUAAACACAGAUUUGAAAAUAAGCUAUCAAAAUUAAUUAUUCAAAUAUUUCGAAGCUAGAAACUUUUUUUUAGCCAUUUAAAAAUAUAAUAACUUUUACUUCAUAAUGAGUAGGUAUCUGGUAAAAUUAUUCAUGUAGAGAAUUUGAUAAGAACAUUUUGAGAUGAUAAAUAUUUAUUGAACUAAGCAUAUAGAAUAGUUGUAUAGGUGUAUGGUUUUCUGAUACAAGCUAGAGUCAUUUAGAUAAAUAAAGGGGGGUCGGUAGAAGGAAGGUCUAAAACGUUGGAUUUUCGACCGCUGACUCGGGUUCGAUUCCCGCAUUGGACACUUUUUCUGUUUUAAAAAAAAAUUCUCCAAUGGCCCCAGUUUCUUGCAAAAGUCCAACCUCACCAGCAAGUAACCAAACGGGGCUCUGUCACACUUGUAAGUGCAAAGUCGAACUGCUUUUCACAUGUGCAGACAUGUGGUGCACUUACAGCAAAAGCAGUCGCCUACUUCUACCCACCCUGAUUAUUAUGGCCUGUAACACGUGUACUAAGGAUGAGCAAAAAAAGAUAAAUAAAUCAUUCCAUUGGCUGGUGAUUGAUCACGUGACACAUACUAUCUAAACAAUUAUUUCUUCAAUAGCAUAAUCCUUUUGGCGAGCUUCACGUCAAGGUAAUGUUGUUUCUCUUUUCCUUUACGUUCUUAUAAAACAGUUAAGUACCAAUUUCAGACUUAUGAUAGAAAUUUCAAUGCUUUUUCCAAAUUUAUGCCAAAUUUUAGUGAAAUAUAACUAUUUUAACAUCAAUUUGUAUUUUGGAAUCAUAUGUUCUUGAUAUAGAACAGUUUUAAUCAAUUUCAAGAAAAUAUUUAAUUUUAAAAUACAAAUAUUUGAAAACUAUAUUAGUUGAAUCAUUUAGAAACUAUGUGUGAAUUAAAACAUGCUUUAGUUUGAAAAUACGAAGGAUUUGAACUUUUUUUUAAAGCAGUGAAUGAUCUAUUUAAAAAUUACUUUUUAUGAAUAUUUUUAUAACUAUAAUAUAUUCUGUAUUGUUAUUAUAAUUGCUUUUAGGUAGUUUUACAAUUUUUGUAUCGCUAUUUUUAAAUAUUCGUAUGCAAAUUUUGUUAAUAGUGUGUUCAUUUUGAUGAAUAAUUUAACAAAUUUUUAUCUUCUAAAUGUGGUUUUAUAAAUUCUUUAUCUUUCCAUAUUAUUUUAGUCAAUAUUUGAGUAAAAUUAAUCUAGCAGGUUUACAAUAGUAUUCUAAAACUUUUUCAGGAAUUUUCUUUUAUUUUCGCAAUGACUCUACUGAUAAUUUUUAAAUGUUAAUAAUCUCUUAAGAAUAAAAUAUAUUUUAUAAAUCAUUGCAGUUAGUAUAAAGUCUUUAUAAAGUUUAAAUUAUUUGUAUUAAAAGUAUCGCUAUAUAAGAGAAUUUUUGGUAAAUUUCAUAAAUAGAUUUAUGAUAUUUAAAGCAUUUGUUUUUGACAUUAUUUUCGAGUCCUCGGUAGUAUAGUGGUUAGUAUUCCCGCCUGUCACGCGGGCGACCGGUGUUCGAUUCCCCGCCGGGGAGCUUUUUUUUUUUUUUUUGGGGGGCUUAAAAAUCAUUUUAUUUUGGUUAGCAGCCCCGUAAAUAAAGAUAUUUCCGACUUCUCGUUUGAUCUGAGCUCUCCGAAAAAAAAAAAGUGAAAUCAUAUCAAAUAUCUACAAUAAAUGAAAGAAAAUUCUCUUUAGGGAAGAGUUACUUUUUAUAUAACGGCAAUAUAAGCUUUUUUUUUUCGGGCUUAAAAGUCUUUUGACAGGUAUAAAUAAGUAUGCUACUAAAUUUUUCUUCCAUUUUUAAUUUUACCGAAAGUAUAAUAAUAACUUUAUUUUUCAAAAGGUUACAAGUUUUUCUCUAAAAAGUGUAGCGAAUGGUCAGUCUAUUUACACAUUUUUAUUUACAGCUUCAAUAAAUAAUAACUGUAAAAGUAAACUAAAUAUAUUUACAUUUGCUAUCUUGACUCCUGGUAAGUGCUGUGGCCCUCGCAGAUAUGGUCCCCUGAUGUCCUGCAGCUCUCCAGCAGUCUUUCUAUGGCCUCUCCUGGUGGCUCCUCGAUAAAAUGGUCCCCUGGCUUUGAUCCAUUCUUAUCUGUCAGGUCUCCUGUCAUCUGCUCUAGGUCGUUCUCCUGGAUCUCUUCUAUGGCAGUCGUAUACCUGUGCUCCAUGUCUGGUGUUCCUCGUCUUCACACGCCAGCUCCCUACAUCGUUCCAACAAUCGAUCCAUGGUUUCCAUUUCUUUAUUUCUCUGGGACUUAUCGUGAGGUUCAUUCUUCUUUUCUGUUGAGAUAAUUUCCAUAGUCUUUUUUAGGACCAAGGAUUAGAUGUAUGCGAAGUCCCUUUUUCAUAUGUUUAUUUCCUUCCGAAAUUGUGUGUUAUAUUUUGUUACGAUUCCAUCCCAUGUUAAGACUAUCGGCACUACUUUUACGGACAUUUUUUCGGUUUGAGCCAUUUCCCUCGCCAGUAGCUAGUAUUUUCUUUUCUAUGUUAGCUCCGUAGUUUGGAUAUUGUCUUGGGAGGUAAUGCCUAUCUCUAUGAUUGUUAUGUCUUUUUCAUUUUGUCAUAUACUAUUAUAUCAGGUUUGUUAGCUCUGAUAUUGAUAUCGCUUAUCAUAGGCAAGUCCCUUAUUAUCUUGGCGUAUGAAUUUUCAAUUUUAGUUAUUUUGUGGAGCUUUAUCUUGUUGUUUUCAGUGAAAUUAUUAUUUCUUGACAGAUUAAAGUGGACGCAUCUCACCACUUCAUUAUGCCUCUCAGCGUAGUCGUAAGGAAGCAAUCUUCCACAGUUUGUAGCAAGGUGGUCCACCGUCCUCUAUACCUUUUCACAGUGACGGCAUUUCAGGUUUUUAUCCUUCGGGAACACGCUUCUAUCUUCUAUGAACAUAUAAAAACCUUCAUUUUGCGGAGUGUUGUUUCCCGUUUUGAGCCACUGUGAGGAUUCUAUCAUGUCCAAUAGCGGAUGCUCUUCAUUUUUGAAGAAUGUUUUGUUGAUUUUUUUCUGGCCAAUGAUUCCUCUUAUAUUUUCAAUCUGUUUUUCUUUUAGAGUCUUGAUUGUGAUGUCUUGGUUUUCCAGUUUAUAUUUGUUAUCAAUAAUUAACUGAGGGUGUGCGCGCAUUGUAUUUUCGCCCUGUUCACACAUCUUAAUAUCUUUCUUUCUCCUUGUGGUCUCCCCACCAAAUAUAUAUCUGUAGCUGCCCAGAAUAAUUCGUUCGUAUUUUUGGACCAAGUUCACCAACCUUCUUCCCAUUUCUUCGCGUUGAAGAUAUAACCUUUCUAUAUUCGCUUGCUUAAGGUGAAUUUUAUAUUUGCUCAGCGUUGUUCUCACUUUUUGGUCCAUCAUUUCUAGUUCUCGCUCACUAAACUCCACGAUAAUAAUAUUGAUAAUAAUUUAUCUUAUAGUUUAGUUGAACAUCUCAUUAAAUAGAAGAAACAAAAAUAAAUAUUAAUAGAGAGAGAAAAUAGAGGUAACCCGGGCUCCUGGAGCGUAAAACGCCAACUACCGGGUAAAUACUUAUAUUGUCGAAAUGGAUGAAUUACUGAAAGUUUUGGGAUAAUUCAAAACUGAUAAGCAAAGUCAUUAGAAGAUUUUUAAUCUUUAAAGACUGAUAAAUUGCUUUCAAAAUAUGAUUUUUUAAAUGGCACAAUUCUUCGAUAUAAAGGAUUUUUUUUUCAGUUUAUACGCUAUAUUUUUGCUUCUACAGACUACAAACACGUUUGUGGCUAAAGUUUUUUUUAACAUCGUUGAAUAUAUAAACUAUAUUUUCUUCUUCUUCUUUCUUAUCUCCACUCAAUCACACUAAGGUAUCAAGCUUGUGAAGCUUGAGACUUUUGAUGGUGUCUGCCGGGGAAGAGUAGAGCUCAUCAAUGGAUGAGUCAAUACAGUCAAUAAUAUGUUCCGGGGCCGCAGGUUGAGAAUUGCACUUAGUACAUGUGGGAAAACCUUGCAACCAUUCUGGAAAGUCAUUGUCCGUAGAUGACAAGACUUAAGUCUGGAAAUCAAAGACUGUUGUUCUCUUGGGAGGACAGAAUCGGUGUAAACUAUAUUUUGAAAAUGAUGCUCUUUAAUCAUAUCAAAAUAAUAUAAAAUUGUCAUACUAUCACAGAUUUACAUAUAAAUUCGUUUAUUCUUUUUUUUUUAAUUGUGAGGAGUCCAUUGAAUAUCUUGUGGAUCUCAUGGAAUAAAGAUUGCUCUAGACUGACGAGGGCCAUUAGCCAGAAACCAUGGUCUCUAGGUGGACGCUUCUGUUUGCUAAAGCUGGUGUUGUGGCUUUGUCAACGACCCUAAACCGCUAGUUUGUCGCGACGGUCAAUAGAUUGCGUCUAGUUUAGACGUUAAUUUUGACGGGAGAUGUGUCCUAUGCUUUUAUUGAUGUAUAGAUUAUUAUUUUUCUGAAACUGUUCGAUUUCCAUUCGUCUGUUUCAUUAUUAAUAUCAUCAAUAUAUUUCUAGAACUUUAUUUUUUCAUAGUAAUAUGGAAGUAAAUUGAGUCAUCUUCUUCUCUAAUCUCAUCAUUGCUUGAUCGUAGUCUAUUUAGUUUUUUGAGGUGGCUUGAAUUAGAAUCCCACCUAAAAAAACUACGAUCAAGCAAUGGUGAGAUUAGAGAAGAAGAUGACUCAAUUUACUUCCAUAUUACUAUGAAAAAAUAAAGUUCUAGAAAUAUUGAUGAUAUUAAUAAUUGAUUAUUAUAUUGUGGCAAAUAAAUAAUUUACAUAUAAUUAUCUAAUUUAAUUAUUCAAUGAAAAUAUUUAAAACAGAUUUAUUACUUUAAAUUUGUAAAAUCAUCAUUUAGUUGCCUAGCUUGCUUGUUCAAUAUUCUCUAGCUGUAGAUAGUUUUGUUUGUUGAUAAUUGUCGACUAGUCGUAUUGACGCCAUCAAUAAAUACUUUUACAUCUUAAGAUAUUCCAAGACUUGAUUUCUACGCUACAAAAUUUAUGCAAAAAACUGGAAUUUUACUUCAGAAUGGAAAUCGCUGAAUCCUCCAGACCUCUGCUUGACACCUACUGGGCUAAGUACAAGGUAGGUAUUUGCAUUAGCGAAUACUUUUAAUAUGUUUCAUAUCAUUCUAUUCGUUUAGAUUUUUCAAGGAGGAAAUAUCUUUAUUUACGGGAAUGCUAACCAGAAUUAAUGAUUUUUGAGCCCCGAUGGACGCAUAAAGCGGAAUAUAUACAAAGUAUUAUGUACAAAGCACUGUUGGAGGGGCCUGGGGAUGGGUGGUCAGGGGAUAAUCGCCGGGUGAGGCCAGGAGAGCCGGGAUGUAGAGGAGGGGGGCAGGGUGGUGAUCCACCAGAAUGGAUGAUAUUUGAGCCCCGAUAGACGCAUAAAGCGGAAUAUAUACAAAGCACUAUAUACAUUUAAAAUACAAUAUAACGCGGCUGAUGAUUGUAAAACGAAAAUUAAAAUUAUACCGCGAAUGUUUCUUUUAAAAAUCGAAAUUUAUUUUCAAAGAGAAAUAGCGACAUUUCAUUCAUUGCACUGUUGGAGGGUUCUGGGGAUGGGUGGCCAGGGGAUCAUCGCCAGGUGAGGCCAGGAGAGCCGGGAUGUAGAGAAGGGGGACAGGGUGGUGAUCCGCGGAGAUCAGGGGAAGACGGGUCCAAUAGUAUUGAGUCCAGGGGUGACCGUGGAGAGCAGACAGACCGCAAUGCUAUGUAUGUUGCAGCCAGAGCGGACAAAGUAAAUAUCUACAAAGUAAAGAGAGAGAUUGAGAUUGAAACUACUUUGUUUCAAUGUCCAUUUAAGAUUAAAAGAUAGCGGAGCGUGGUUGCUAUCUUUAGAUUUGUUAAUAUUGUGGCAAAGUAUUUAAUAUUUUAUCAACAAAGUAUCAUUUUUGAUGUUUAUAUUUUGCUAUUCUGCAAACUUCCCUCAUUGUUUAUCUUUUUUUCAAACUGCCACGUGGAAAAUUAGGAAAGACAAACUUCAUGAUGACACAAUAAUUUAUUUUAAGACAAGAACAAACUAUGAAAGUCUGGUCAUCUACGGACAAUGACUUUCCAGAAUGGUUGCAAGAUUUUCUCACUAUGUACUAAGUGUCAACCUGCAACCCCAAAACACAUUAUUGUCUGUAUUGACUCAUCCAUUGAUGAGCUCUACUCUUCCCCUGAAGAUACCAUCAAAAGUCUCAAGCUUUACAAGCUUGAUACCUUAAUAUGAUUGAGUGGAGAUAAGAAAGAAUAAAAUGACAAACUAUGAGUGAUAAAAAAAAAGAUAAGCAAUGAGGGAAGUUUACAGAGUAAAAAA